rnacentral:lncRNA from 1 species
AGUGUUCUGCCAACUCGCUCCACGACUGUCUAGUUCCAUCUGGCCCCAGCCCACUUUUGUUUUAUGCCUUUGGCUAUUGGUAGCAAAAAAUCAGUGGCUACACUAGCUGGAGACUGUCAAGGCCAGCCCGAGGAACCAAGAGCAGACUGGGAUCUGGAGAAUGCUGUCAGUGAAGUUUACUUGUGAUAGACUGUCUGCCUGAGCCCUUAUUGCAUUGUACCUGCAUUACCCAAGAGGUAAAAGAAGGAAGAGAAAUGGAUGGGAAUGGGUCAGAGGAACAACACACACUUUUAGGAGAAAGGAGAUUAAGAAAUAUCUGCUUCAUGUAUUCUAUUGUGGCCUGAAUUUCUCAUGAAUGUGGGCCCACUCAUUGAUUCUCUGCAGAUACAGCACACAUCUUCCAUAACCAGAAGCACUCCAAGAACAACACUUUCAUUCAUGGACUUAACAACUACAUUAGAUCAUACCAGCCUGUCACUUCAAAGUCGCCAGUGUCAAGGACAAACAGAAAGGCUCUGUGAACAGUAAGUGAAGCUGGAGCUACAAAAGCACAAAGCCCUUGGAGGGAGC